rnacentral:rRNA from 1 species
GACGGAGGAUGCAAGCGUUAUCCGGAAUGAUUGGGCGUAAAGCGUCCGCAGGUGGCAGUUCAAGUCUGCUGUCAAAGACCGGGGCUUAACUUCGGAAAGGCAGUGGAAACUGAACAGCUAGAGUAUGGUAGGGGCAGAGGGAAUUCCUGGUGUAGCGGUGAAAUGCGUAGAGAUCAGGAAGAACAUCGGUGGCGAAGGCGCUCUGCUGGACCAUAACUGACACUCAGGGACGAAAGCUAGGGGAGCAAACAGG